rnacentral:rRNA from 1 species
AUUGAACGCUGGCGGAAUGCUUUACACAUGCAAGUCGAACGGCAGCACGGACUUCGGUCUGGUGGCGAGUGGCGAACGGGUGAGUAAUGUAUCGGAACGUGCCCAGUCGUGGGGGAUAACGUAGUGAAAAUUACGCUAAUACCGCAUACGAUCGAUGGAUGAAAGCGGAGGAUCGCAAGACCUCGCGCUCUUGGAGCGCCCGAUGUCAGAUUAGGUAGUUGGGGAGGUAAAGGCUCACCAAGCCGACGAUCUGCAGCUGGUCUGAGAGGACGACCAGCAACGCUGGGAAUGAGACACGGCCCAGACUCCUACGGGAGGCAGCAGUGGGGAAUUUUGGACAAUGGCCGCAAGUCUGAUCCAGCCAUUACGCGUGCAGGACGAAGGCAUUCGGGUUGUAAACUGCUUUUGUACAGAACGAAAAGGUCUCUAUUAAUACUGGGGGCUCAUGACGGUACUGUCAGAAUAAGCACCGGCUAACUACGUGCCAGCAGCCGCCGUAA